GCUGAGUUCUAAGCGGUGAGGCGUGCUCGAAGCUUCGCGUCGCGGCUACUCCAAUUAUGACCUCAACUUCUGCAAGCCCGGUUACCCGGCUAGCACGACCCAUUGGUGCUCCUGGAAUGCAUAUGCUACGCCCGGUGGCCAUUUCAUUCCUUCUCAUGCAUGAGCUGUUACGUUUGACGCAAACGCUUCCGUUGCUGUCUCAAGUCGCGCCUGCAGUCAAGUUUUAUUUUGUUUGUGUGUGCCUGGGUAAUGAACUGACUGCGCCAAUCAACUGGAGAACAACGAAGCAGCUGUCGCCGCCACGUGCCUCCAAGCUAACCAACAAGGUGAAUCCCGUGCGGCCUAGUGACCGUGUCAGUACGACGGGGUGCAACGCAACCAAGUGACCGUGGCACUACUCCGAGGGACAACGGAGCAACCGUCGUCGCUACGUUCGAUCUUCGGCAGUUAUAUUCACCAGGUGCGAUUCUAGCUUGUGAGGGUGGCGCGGUUAUUAAAUCAACUAAUUGGCAAUGUUAACUGUUUAACUGAUUGGCAAGAGAAGGCCGCUGCCACAUUGGGUCGUCGUCGUGACGGAAGCGAAGAGGACUGGGUGGGGCGAUUGUAGCUUUAGGCUUAGCUAACACUCGGAAGGGUAGCUCGCACUGCGCAGGCUCCAGCUGGCAGGGGUCCUCUCUCGUUUGCGACACGGACAUCGGCCCAUUCCGAGUGCUAUUGCUUCCCGGUCAUAAUUUCGCGUGUCGGCGCGCGCCAAAUUCGCGUGUCGGCGCGCGCGAAAUGGGGAAGUAAAUUGCACCCGGAAUUAAUUAGUGCCAGGUUUCUUCCAGCAAAACAGAAGAAGAACGGACGUUGCCUACGGUCUGCAGCGCGGCGCGCUGCGGCGAAGACGGUGGUGGGUGGCCAAUUUUCUUUUUUUUUUGUCUUCCGUAUGUUCUCGUCCCUAUUGCUGUGUCACGCCGUGCUUUCGUCGCUCGACAAGCCAACCACCGUGGAUUGGUCCCACCGCCCAAUCCAGCGAUAUGACGCUUGUCUUGGUGAGUACCUGCUUUCUGGUUACUUCCCUCAUUUAACAAGUGCCCCCUCCCCCCUUUUUUUAUCCAGAUAUGUAACCUGUGCCUUGGCCCCUGGCACCCAGUUCCUGCACCCGGCCGUGUCUCGCACAGAUGACGUUCAGCAGCUGAUCGUGUGUUCACUUCUGUUCCUGCCUCACUGCUAUUGUGUCCGGGUGACGGAAGAUGCCUGCAAUCCCCGCCCUGCAGAACUUCCACUGCACGCCGUGUCUCGCGCAGAUGACGUUCAACACCUGUCUGUCGUCCAGCAGCUGAUCGUGUCUUCACUUCUGUUCCUGCCUCACUGCUAUUGAGUCCUGGUGAAUUAGGAUGCCUGCAAUCCAAGCCCUGCAGAACGUCGACUGCACCUAAUCUGCAACCCUACAUCUGCGGCCCAUCAAGGUCUGUCCCACCAGCGUAGUAGGCAAUGACACCAAGUACAGACCGCAGGGAGGAAGGCGUUGCUCUCGCCACUCAUCGCAUUGCUGCUCCCGAAGGCGUCGUGCUGCAGGACACGUUCUUCUCUGCCUCGACGAGGCCUCAAAACUAUGAAGUCCCAAGAAACAGCACAACGUCGCAUGACAUGAUCAUCUAACAUCCCGGUUCGAGUUGUUUGUUCCACCCUAUAGCAGUGCGACGGCCACUCGAUGAAGUCGCACGUUAUUCAAUGACUUUGACCGUAUGAUGUGGGUAGAGAAAGCCCAGGUAACAUGCUGUUCUAGCUCGCCGUAGUAGUACACUGCUCAUACUCUAGCAUUAUGUUGAUCUGGGGAUUCUUGCUUAUUACGUUCAUUGACAUGCUGUGCUUUUGUAAUGGUAUACUGAUGCUGGUUUGCGUUGCGGAAGUGUGUGUGUGUGUGUGUGUGUGUGUGUGCGCGCGCAUCCGUAUGAGUGUGUGUGUGUGUGUGUGCGCGCGCAUCCGUAUGAGUGUGUGUGUGUGUGCGCGCGCAUCCGUAUGAGUGUGUGUGUGUGUGCGCGCGCAUCCGUAUGAGUGUGUGUGUGUGUGUGCGCGCGCAUCCGUAUGAGUGUGUGUGUGUGUGUGCGCGCGCAUCCGUAUGAGUGUGUGUGUGUGUGUGCGCGCGCAUCCGUAUGUGUGUGUGUGCGUGCGCGCGCGCGCGCGCGUUCGUAUGCUCCUGCGCUCAUUUCAUCUGGUAGUUAACAUCAUUCUGGCGGGGGUGCGUUUCCUAUUCAUCCACGAAUUGUUUGACUGGUUUCUUGCAAUUGGUGACAUCCUUCAGUAAGCUCGUUGAAUGUUCAGUAGUGAUGGUUGCAAAUUGUUUCGGCUACUCUUGCAACGUACAACUGGUCCACUCACAUAUUUAGUUUUGGCAAUUGUCAAAUACUUUGGUAUUCCAAUGCAUUUCUAUUGGUAUCUUUUCCUUAUUCACAUAUUCUUGGUCUUUCAAGUGACUCAUUAUGGACAAUGCAAAACAGCCUCAAUGUACCCUAACAUAAAGCACGUGGUCUGAAAUAAAGGCAUUAAAUCUUAUUAUUAUGAGCGCAUCCUUUGAAAUCUUGUGCUGGCAUGGCACCGAGCUCUUACAUUUUUACCUGUGUGCUUUCAUUAAUGAUGCUGGUAAUAAAGCAGCGUACCACUCGCAAGUCAAGGCAGGUUCUGGAUCGCUCUUCGGAUAACACGACCACACAUGCCUGCCGUGUUCAACAAACUGUUUUGUCACAGUUCCUUUUGUUCUACGUGAGUGUUCACUGCCCUGUGCAAAUUUACCUGCCUGUGUUGAUUUAGUGGACA